AUGAGCUCCGACUGCACCAGCUACCUGAGCGCCUCCGGGGCGCUGGUGAGCGGCUUCGGCUGCCCGCGGGCGGACGGCGAGGCGAGCGCCGUGUACUGCUGCGGCUUCCAGGACGUCAAGUACUGCUGCGAUGACCCCAACAGCUUCUUCCCCUACGAGCACGGCUACAUGUGGUGGCUCAGUGUUGGUGCACUUGUGGGUCUGUCGAUAGCAGCGGUGGUCCUGCUUGCUUUUAUCAUCACAGUGUGUGUUCUCUGUUACUUGUUUAUCAGUACGAAGCCACGCAGCAAGCUGGAUACAGGUUUAAGCUUGCAGACAGCCGGCAGAGAGACUAGAGGGAGUUCCUUUUGAAAUAUAGAGGCACUGGACGAGAUUCCCACAGUGCUGCAAUACACCCUAGAACAGCUACAGAUUGAGAAGCAGCAGUGCAAGCUUCCUCCCAUCGUCCCUCACUAGUCUCUCUCCUGGAAGGACCAUCUCUGGGGGCAAGAAGGCAUGGAACCACAUCCUUUGGAAGGCACUAGCUGAAGCAGUGCAUCUGCAGAGCCAAAUGGAUUCAGGAAAUGCUUCCUUAGCCAUAAACUGGACUGUGGUAACCAGUCCCCAGACCCUGACAGACUUUCCAGAGGUGUUUUAUGGCCACUAUAACCACCAUUAACAUCUCGGGGCAACAUGAAGCCAUGCCUGGUUAUGUGUUUCUUACAGCCAUUAAUGUGCAGAUGUUGUGCUGAGAGGCAAUGGUGUAUUUUGAUUU